rnacentral:rRNA from 1 species
CCUACGGGAGGCAGCAGUGAGGAAUAUUGGUCAAUGGGCGGGAGCCUGAACCAGCCACGUAGCGUGAAGGAUGACUGCCCUAUGGGUUGUAAACUUCUUUUAUAAGGGAAUAAAAUGUUUCACGGGUGGGAUUUUGUAUGUACUAUAUGAAUAAGGAUCGGCUAACUCCGUGCCAGCAGCCGCGGUAAUACGGAGGAUACGAGCGUUAUCCGGAUUUAUUGGGUUGAAAGGGAGCGUAGAUGGGUUGUUAAGUCAGUUGUGAAAGUUUGCGGCUCAACCGUAAGAUUGCAAUUGAUACUGGCAGUCUUGAGUACAGUAGAGGUGGGCGGAAUUCGUGGUGUAGCGGUGAAAUGCUUAGAUAUCACGAAGAACUCCGAUUGCGAAGGCGGCGAACUGGACUGCAACUGACACUGAGGCUCGAAAGUGUGGGUAUCAAACAGGAUUAGAUACCCGGGUAGUC